AGGGCACCACCAGGAGUGGAGCCUGCGGCUUAAUUUGACUCAACACGGGRAAACUCACCCGGCCCGGACACUGGAAGGAUUGACAGAUUGAGAGCUCUUUCUUGAUUCAGUGGGUGGUGGUGCAUGGCCGUUCUUAGUUGGUGGAGUGAUUUGUCUGGUUAAUUCCGAUAACGAACGAGACUCUAGCCUACUAAAUAGAUCKYCGGCUUMYAAACGCCGGCGAGRCUUYUUAKAGGGRSAGGSGGKGAUUCAACCSCACGAAACAGAGCAAUAACAGGUCUGUGAUGCCCUUAGAUGUCCGGGGCCGCACGCGCGCUACACUGAAGUGAUCAGCGUGCUUUUUCAACCUACUCUGUCAAGAGUGGGGAACCCAAUGAACCUUCUUCGUGAUUGGGAUAGGGGAUUGUAAUUGUUCCCCUUGAACGAGGAAUUCCCAGUAAGCGCGAGUCAUAAGCUCGCGUUGAUUACGUCCCUGCCCUUUGUACACACCGCCCGUCGCUACUACCSAUUGAAUGUUUU
rnacentral:rRNA from 1 species